AUCAGAUGACUGCAGCUGUGUGGGCUUAGCCGCAUCUUGUGUUCAAUUACAUUGGUCUCUGUUUGUGUUUUUAUGCCAGUCCUGUGCCGUUUUGGUUACUAAGGCUCUGUGGUGAAAUCUGAAGUCAGGUAUCGUGAUGCCUCCAGCGAUGCUCUUUUCCUCAGUAUUGAGUUGGCUCUUCUGGGUCUUUUCUUCUUUCAUCUGAAUUUGAAGAUUGUUUUUUCUAGUUCUGAGAAUAUCCUUGGUAUUUUGAUGGAGAUUGCAUUGAAUCUCGAGAUCACUUUUAGUAAUAUGGUCAUUUUAACCUUAUUAAUUCUGUCAACCCAUCAUGAGAGAUCUUUCCAUCUUCUGGUGUCUGCUUCAAUUUUCUUUUUUUUUCUCUCUCUCUCUCUUUUCUUUCAGCAUUCUGUAACUUUUUUUAAGUCUCUCACCUCUUUGGUGAGAUUUAUUCCUAAGUAUUUUGUAAGCUAUUGUGAAUAAAAUUGUUUCCCUGAUUUCUUUCUCAGUGGAAUUGUCAUCGGUGUAUAGAAAAGCUAUUGCCAAAAAGUACAAAACCUGUUGAUUUUGCAUCCUGCUACUUUGCUGAAUUUAUUUAUCUGCUCUAGAAUUCUUCUGGUGGAACAUUUAGGAUCUUCUAAGCCUGGGAUCAUAGCAUCUGCAAACAAGGGAAAUUUGACUUCUUCCUUUCCUAUUUGUAUGCCUUUUACUUCCUUCUCUUGCCUAAUUGCUCUGGCUAAAAGUUCAAAUGCUAUAUUGGAUGGGAGUGGUGAGAAUGGACAUCCUUGUCUUGUUCUUGAUUUUGGAAGAAAUGCUUUCAGUUUUUCCCCAUGCAGUAUGAUGUUAGCUUUGAGAUGGUUCAUACAUAGUCUUUAUGAUAUUGAGGUAAGUCUCCUCCACCCCUCGUUUCUUUCAAGUUUUUAUCAUGAAGCAGUGUUGAAUCGCGUCACAUCUUUCUGCAUCAAUUGAUAUGAUCAUGUGACUCUUGUUCAUGAUUCUAUGUGUGUGGCAUAUCGUGUCUAUUGAUUUGCAUAACUUGUUGAACCAUCCUGGCAUCCCUGGAAUGAAAGCUGCUUGGUUCUGGUGUAUGAUCUUUUUAAUGUGCUGCUAAGUUCAAUUUGUUAAUAUUUUAUUAAGGAUUUUUGCAUCUGUGUUCAUCAACACUGUUGAUCUGUAGUUUUCUUUCCUUGAAGUGUUUUUAUCUGGUUUUAGUGUCAGGGUAUACUAGCUUUGUAGAAUGAGUUUGGAAGUGCUUCGCCCAUUUCUAUUUCAUGGACUAAUUUGAGGAGCACUACUGUGUUAGUUCUUUAAAGAUCUGGUUGGAUUCAGCUAUGAACUCAUCUAGUCUCUAGUCUUGGACUGAUGUUCUUGUUUUUGGAAGGUUUUUUUUUUUUUAUUACUGCUUCGAUAUGGUAUUGGUCUUUUUAAGUUUUCCAUAUUCUUUUGGUUCAAUUUUAGUAGGUCAUAGGUGUCUAGAAAUCUGUCCAUUUCUACUAGAUUUUCCAAUUUACUAAAGUAUAAGUUUUUCAAAUAGUCCCUAAACAUUCUCU
rnacentral:lncRNA from 1 species